AGUGGAGAACGAAAGAGGUCACGGACUAAGCCUCUCCAUGAAAUGGAGAGCAACACUUGUGCUGCAGCAACCUUGUAAUGUGAAAGAUCAUCCUGAGGACUUCAGGUGUGUGAAGACCCGUUUGAAGAAACAAAGGAAAGUGCCAGGUGUUGUUUUUGAGAUGGAAAUGCACUCAGCAGCAGGUAGAAGCCCAGACAUCCUUGUUCUACAGGGACGUGGAAUUCUGUGUGCUGAUGAGAAUAGCUGGAUUACGCCUGGGAUUUUGCUGUAGAUUUCCUUUCCAGAUGUGCUGCUUUGCUGAGGCAAAACUUUGGGAGGAGUGCUGGACAAUGUGGGAAGAUCUCCAUCUUAACUCUGUAUGAGAGCAAGAGGGCAAAAAGAAUGAAAUGAAGCAGAAAAAGAAUCUCCUCUAACUCAGAAGUCACCUGAAUUGCAAGAGCUGCACUUCUGCUUUCACUCUGCCGUGGAUUUGCGUUGUCUGAUGCCAGAGACAGGAGUCCUGACACUCACCAGCCUGCCUUGGAGAAGAGUAGACAGUUUGUACCUCAGAAACCACUGGCCCUGAAAGAAUAGACAGAUUGGAGGCAAAGGACAGUGCUUUAGAGUCAAUGUUACAUUUAAGAAACAACAUGCAAUUCAAACCUUGUAAUUAUCAUGAUUUUUCAGCUUCUAUUUCUUCCCCACUGACAAAAGAAAGAAAAUAAGGACUUUCAUGGAAAACUAAAUUAAGGUGAAGGCUGAUAUCUUAAUAGGCUCUGCCUAGAUCUGUGCAUCUCAAUUCUUGAUGGGCCUCCAGUUUGUUCCUGUACUGAUUGCUGUCCUCGGUGCUGCAGUUUUUUGAGGUGAUCCCUUCCUUGUCGUGUGAAGCUUUCCCAGCCUGAUUUUAAGUCUGGUCAGGUUCCUCCUGCUUCCUCCCAUUCUGGAAAGUCCUAGAUUCAAAGCCCUGAUGACUUCAGUUUAGAUCCAGGUUUAUUCAGGUCCAACCAGGAGAUGUGGGAGCAAUUGCAGUAGGUUCCUCAGAAGCUUCACAGACGGAAUGAGAAAACUAAGUCAGAACAAACCAGCCCUUGCAAGGUUUGAAGAAACAGCAGUGUCAGAUUUGGGGACAGAAUGGAAAAACUAUGUUUUCACAUCUUCUGACAUGCCCUGGGUACAUCUCAUACAUAAGUGCUUGUGAUGGGAGUCUCCCUUCUUGAAAAAGAACUUAUUGAAGAAAGUUCUGUUCCACUCCCUACUAGUCCCUAGGGAAAAAGAAACGGACCAGUAACUGAACACUUUUUCCUUCCUGGCAAUUCAGUUUGCUGAACACUUACCCAUUUCUUCAGGAGAAAAUUUCUACUCUGUGCUCUGUCAUUAAUAACUCAUUUGUCAAGUUAUGUAAUAAGUUUUUGAUCAUUAUGCAUUCAUCUGCAGAUAAUUUGUAUGUCAUAUCCACUACAAGGAACAGUAAAGAAUCAGUAAAGCAAAACAAGUAAAGCAAAACAGUAAAGCAAAACAGCAAAGCAAAACGAGUCAACCAUCCAACUGACAUCCUUCUCUCUGUGCUUUAUCCAUUUGUAUGUAAUUGACUUGCAGUUGGUUGAUUUCUCAAAUCAGAUUUUUAAGACUGAUUUGCAAUUAGUAAUAUCUCUAUUUAGAUUUUUUUUUUUUUUGAAUUCUGAUUUCCAUCUUUCUGUAACUCACUUAUGUCAAUGUCAAUGUUGGACAUUCUUCAGAUGAAAAGCGCUACCAGACAAACAACAUUUUUCCUUCAUUUUUGGAUUUUUUUUUUAAAUGUAUAGUUAUUUCUGACUGCCACGAAUCUAAUACUCAAAGAACUAAUUAUGUAAAAUCAGAUUUUGACCAAAGUAGCUUAUCUAGCCACUGAAUAACAACAACAAAUAGCCAGAACUUCACAAAGCUGCAGUGCAGACAGCUAAACUCCUUUGGAAAUGUGCUUUCUAUGCAGUCAUAUGCUGGCAAAGAUGUCAGACUAAUUGCUGUGACUUUCCAUUAUGCUGCCCAAGAAUCCCUUUCUCAGCAUUCCCAAGCAAUAUCUCAUUGAUCGGGCCAGUUCAGAGAGUGAGUAAUCUACAAAAACGGCUUCUUCUUCCUGCUGAGAAUUCAGCAGAAAUGCUGUUUACAUCAUAGACUUUUCUAGCGAGGAUGUCUUUUUUCUACAAGUUUGACUAGAGCCGUGCAAACUGGUUUUGCAACUGUCUCUGGCUCCUAGUGUUUGUAACACUGAGCUGGUUAAAAGUGGUCAUAAAACAAUACAAAGUGAAGGUGAAAGAUGUGGCAUUAUAUUGCUACUUCUCAAGUUAUUCUGUCUGUGUUUAUUUUCAACAUGGAGAAAAAAAAUCUUUCAGAACAUUUCAUCAAGUGCUGCUAGUUAAACUGAAGUGAAGGCACUUGGUUCAUUGGUAGUAGCUGGAAAGGCAGCAUGUCAUUUCACACUCUGCCCCAGCCUUUAGAAAGUCAGAAAAGCCUUUAAUAUCACAUUCCCUGGGCCUACAUUACCCUCCUCCACAGCUUUCCGAAGGAUUUUCUCCAAAUAUCUCCAAGAAAUUAACCCCAUACCUCUCUGCUUUAGCUGCCUUCAAUCUCACUUUGGAAGCAGUGGUGGGAUAAAGGUGCUGACUGGUCAGACCUGUGGUUGAGUGACUGAGUGAAAAAGCAAAGUCUAUGUUUCUGAGCCUGUAGUUUGAGAGAGAAGUGGAGACAGAAGCAUGUGGAGCCUCAUCACGGUCAGGGGCAGAGCUCAGGCUUGCACCUGCAUUAAAUUUGUACCAUCUAAACACAGCAGACUGUUGUCUGGACAGAGUCAUAGUCAUUGGAAUCCCACAGGAAACUUAUAUCCAUUAAUCAGGAAAAACACUGGCAGAAGGCAACCACAGGCCAAGAUGAAACUUCUGUAUACCAGAGGUCAUUUUUGUAGUGUGCUCUGUGGUGAUGGGCUUGCUGUGUUUGAGUCACAAGGAAAUUGCUGCUGGGCAAGCCCUCAGCCUGCUGUUCUCAGGUGCUGCUGCCUGCUCAUCCGAGUACUUGACCUCACACAAACCAAGUAUAGAUCUUGCCGGAGAGCUACUGUCCUCUGAAUGCAAUCUUUUGUGCCACAGGAGCCAGAUGGGGCAAGGCAAAGUAGAGCCUGAGAUCAUAGUGGUAGGUGGAUAGCUUUGGCAUUUGUGGUAUUAGUCCUGAAUGUCACCAUAAGAACAAUCCAACAGGGCAGUAUUAUAUGUAUACAUUAUAUUUUUCCCUUUUGAAACUGAGAUUUGAAUCAGAAACAGUUCUACCUUAAGCAAGGAACAAAGACACAUCAGGGACAUCCAAGAGUACCUCUCUAGAGUUAGUUAAGAUUUAGGGUACAGCUGUUACCUCAGUGGCUCUCAGAGAAAAAAAACUUAUUUCUGCUCAAAAUUCUUGCCUGACAGAGAUUAUGAGACACUGCCAAGAAAUCCAGACUGGUUUGACACCCAUUAGAACACAGAAAUACAUCCUCCAAUCUGAGCAGCGUGAGCAGAAACAAGGAGAAGAGAUACACACCCACACAAGCACCACAGUGUUGAACUGUGCCUUGUGCUGUGGUGUUCUAAAGAAAUCCCUGCAGAGUAGCUAAAGUUUUUGCAAAAAUACUCUUAGCAAUACAUCGCUGGUAAAGAGCUUUCUGUGAUAUAUAAGGUCUGAGAGGCUGCAGCACUGUGGCCAUAAUUCACUACUUUUUCUUGAAAAUAAAUCUUGCUCCAAGUAGCAUGAAAUGAAGGUAGGGAAAGGCAGGGAGAGUGGAGAUAUUUCAAAGAAAAUCAAAGGAAUAAUUGCUGUUCAGGACCAAUUUUGUCUUAAUUCAGCCUGUACAUUUUACAGGUUCAUGCUCAGCCCUCCUUCACCUGUCCUGUUAAGUCACAAGACCUAAGAUUUCUUGCAGAUCAGAUAAUACUGAUACUGAAAAAAGACCCUGCAAAAGGACAGCCUGUACACAGUAGUCAUUGUGUUGAUACAGAAGACAUGAAUUUGGUUCUUGUUUCUGGAAGGGAAUCUUUGGGUAACAGCAGAACAAGAAAGGUGAGAAGAGUAUACAGAUAAUAAAAGUCAUUGUUCUGAGUGAGUGCAUGAGAUAGAUAUUGAACACUUCAUUCACCCUUCUCAGCGUAAGCACUCGGGGACAUUUGAAAUACCCUGGAGUAUCCAAAAUGUUCACAGAGAGUUGGAAGAUAUCGUGCAGAACCUGAGGGAUGCCCUGGAGCAGCUGCUGGAAUCCAGGCAGAGUACCAUAGGGCAUCCCAGAUGACUUCAGAUGACUGAAGUGAGACAAAUGAACAGAGCCCUGGAAACUUGCUUUAUCAAGCUGGUUUGGAGGCCUGUAUGCAAUAAAUUGAUAUAUGCUAUUUUAC
ensembl:lncRNA